rfam:Salmo salar isolate Sally breed double haploid chromosome ssa16, whole genome shotgun sequence.
UGGCUCAGUUGGUAGAGCAUGGUGUUCGCAAUGCCAGGGUUGUGGGUUCGAUUCCCAC